GAUGAAGAACGCAGCGAAAUGCGAUACGUAAUGUGAAUUGCAGAAUUCAGUGAAUCAUCGAGUCUUUGAACGCACAUUGCGCCCCCUGGUAUUCCGGGGGGCAUGCCUGUCCGAGCGUCAUUGCUGCCCUCAAGCACGGCUUGUGUGUUGGGCCUCCGUCCUCCUCCCGGGGGACGGGCCCGAAAGGCAGCGGCGGCACCGCGUCCGGUCCUCGAGCGUAUGGGGCUUCGUCACCCGCUCUUGUAGGCCCGGCCGGCGCUUGCCGACACAUCAAUCUUUUUUCCAGGUUGACCUCGGAUCAGGUAGGGAUACCCGCUGAACUUAAGCAUAUCAAUAAGUGGAGGA
rnacentral:misc_RNA from 1 species